rnacentral:lncRNA from 1 species
UACAGAUUCCCACUGGAAAUUCGUUGUAUGAAUCUUAUUACAAGCAGGUCGAUCCGGCACACACAGGGAGGGUGGGGGCGAGUGAAGCUGCGCUUUUUCUAAAGAAGUCUGGCCUCUCGGACAUUAUCCUUGGGAAGAUAUGGGACUUGGCCGAUCCAGAAGGUAAAGGGUUCUUGGACAAACAGGGUUUCUAUGUUGCACUGAGACUGGUGGCCUGUGCACAGAGUGGCCAUGAAGUUACCUUGAGCAAUCUGAAUUUGAGCAUGCCACCGCCUAAA